rnacentral:rRNA from 1 species
CAAGGGAUCUUUCGGCUCGAUGGACGAUGAAGGGCGCAGUUGAAGGCGAUAUGUGUCAGAGCAGCAGCAAUGACGGCACGUGCCUGAAUGCGGAUACCCCUUUGAAUUAAGCAUAUGAGUAAAGGGAGGAAAAGAAACUAACAAGGAUUCGGUCAGUAGCGGCGAGCGAAGACUGAAGAGCCCUGAGUGUAAUCGCAAAGCGAGAUGUCAGAAUGAGAGAGUAAUGGCAUGGAAUGGCCAGCCAGUGAGGGUGAGAGCCCCGUACUUUUUGAAAGAAUGGAGUAGCAGUGUUUGGUAUUGCACUGUGAAUGGGUGGCAGCGUUCAUCCAAGGCUAAAUACAUGUCGAGACCGAUAGCGGAUAAGUAGUGUGAACGAAGAAGGAAUAGGAUGAAAAAGUGAAA